rnacentral:rRNA from 1 species
UACGUAGGGUGCAAGCGUUUGUCCGGAAUUAUUGGGCGUAAAGAGCUCGUAGGCGGUUUGUCGCGUCUGCUGUGAAAACCCGAGGCUCAACCUCGGGCCUGCAGUGGGUACGGGCAGACUAGAGUGCAGUAGGGGGAGAUUGGAAUUCCUGGUGUAGCGGUGGAAUGCGCAGAUAUCAGGAGGAACACCGAUGGCGAAGGCAGAUCUCUGGGCCGUAACUGACGCUGAGGAGCGAAAGCAUGGGGGAGCGAACAGG